AUGAGGCAGCAGCGGGUUGUAAAAGGUGCCUUCGAGUAGGUACUCCAGGAGGAGGGUAGCCAUGGGGCGCUGGACUGUCACUAGGAGAGAGAGAGAGAGAGAGAGAGAGAGAGAGACAAGCACAAGACAGCGAAUCUGUCGAUACCGUGACGUGACCCCUGGGUUUUUUUUACGCCCACUCCAUUAACAUCUCAUUAUAAACACUUGGCUGGCUCGUCUUCGUUCAACAAAAUAUCUUAAGUUCAAAGUUCCAUUAAAAUAUCUGCCAGGAUGACGGGAUCGACUUGGUCCUUUCAACCGCGAAGCUCAAUCUUGAUUUUCAGGUUUCAUCCUCAUCGGAAUCAUUAAAGGAAAUUCCUGAUGAGGAUGGCAUUCUCCAAAUACGUGAACGAGAAAUACGUUUUAUCCUAUUAAUAUGAUACCAAUUGUUAUUAAUUUUCGUAGGAUAUAUUUCUAACAUUCUAAAUAAGUGAAAUAAGCAAUUUUACAAAUUGAUGCACGUAUGUGACGCUGGUAGCAAACGGGUUAAAUUCCUGGAGAAGAACUUCCAAGCGAGAGCUAUAUAUAUAUACAGACACACACCCAGAUAUAUAUAUAAAAUGCAGAAUGACUAUCCAGCCUUGAAUAUCAAUAGCAAUAAGAAGUUUACGAUCUUGCCGCAAGAGCCUUUUGAAUAUUGAGAACGCUACGUGAACACCUGCGCAAAUUGAAUGCGUUACGUUCCUUGGAAAUUGCUCGGGCUCCUUGCAACAUAGUUAUUUCCAAGGCCUGCAAGUCUUUAUGAGCAUCAUUUCACACGUGGAAAUCUAUACUAGGAACGUUCAUGGGACGUCAUUUUAGCGAGUUUCUACGACGGGGUUAAACUAAUUUCCACGGAAGCGGCAUUUACCUUCGACAUUUCCGUCGAUAUGGGUCUUCUGGAGUAUAGCGCGCAGAGAACAUACAGUGGAUUAUAUAAUACAGCAACUCUCCGCCACUGGAUGAAAAAGAAAUGACGAGGAGACGCGCUUUCAACGUCACGAUUUAUUAGCGCCAACGUGACGGACAUUAAUUUUGUAUUACGAUGGCAGAACGCCGAGUUUACGGUGGGCCUACCCUGUGAUUUCCGUCACGAACGGUACUAAAGAACUUUAUUAGCAGUGUCUCGAGAUUGGCCUUCCAUGACGACCUGGAGAUCCUGCUGGUCGGGACGAUAUGACGAAUUGAGAUUGAAGUGUCCAUUGGACACAGGAGAUAAAGAUCCGUGGGACAAUUUUCUUUAUUACAUAUUUUUCGUCCUUAAAAUUGUAUGAGGGACGUUAAGGACACCCUGGAUUCUUGAUACUUAGGAUAGCAUUGUUAUGUCAAUUAUUCAAUGCAAAGCGUUCAUUGACUAUGGGAAUGGAUUGGCUUGAUAAAUUCUUAUAAGAGAGUCUGGUCCCUUCUUCUCUUCUUUCUUGAUCCUGUAAAAUCUCUAAUUGUAAGCACGGCCUUAUUAGAAAUCCCGGUAACGUUUGCGCGUUUUAAUAUUAAUAAAUUUUGUGACUCCUGAAGUGCGGGUUGCUACUCGACGUUACAUAGCUUCAUUAACCGUAACUAUCUGAGCCCAAAGUAUUCCCAGGAGAGUGGAAGGGAACGAGAGGGUAAGGGAAGGAAACACGAUAGUAAUCUGUACAAAAGGAUAAAAUCUUCUAAGAUAGUACGGUCUGGCGUAAUAGAAAUUAUUAGAAAAAUAUUUAUAUGCAAGGGUUGAUCACGUAGGAAUGUUUGGAAUUAUUCAGGCUGACCCAGAGGACGCUGACACUGUCCGAGUGUAACACCAAUUAAAUUGAGUUAGACUGGAUUGGGACACAAUGCAUAUUUAUAUAUAAAGUGUAAACAGUCCCAAAAGCUGACGGGAUAGAAAGAACGUUACCGAUGUUGUCGUACAGGGUAGCUCGACGAUCGAAUGUCUCCGUAGCAGCGCUUGUCAAAGUGACGUUAUCAAGGGUGUCUCAAUUCAUUCGUUCUGAUUUAUUCGAACUAAGUGCGUGUACCGUUAAGAUUAAUUUCUCUCUCUCUCUCUCUCUCUCUCUCUCUCUCUCUCUUUUUCAGUCGCUGUAUAAGAAUGAAAGUUGGAGAGUUGGUACCAAAAGAUUCAGAAAGAUUCUGAUAGCCCAGAAGAAGGUAUCGCAGCAGGGAAGGAAACCAGUAAGGCACGAGCCAGUCUAGAGGGAGAAACGAAAAGUCUAGGGGAUGCAGAGGGGAGGAGACGUGCUUUGUUCACCUGACGUCGUGAUGGAAUGUGUCCCGUAACUUUUGCCAAGGAAAUUGGAGAAGUAUUGUGAUGCAGGGUGGAAGCUGUCAGGCGGGAAAACCGAAGAGACUUCAAAACCCUUUGAAAAGGCUGGUUCGAUUAUAGACUGAGCAUCUAGGAUAUCUAUGUACAGGCGAUGCUCAUGAUACUGGCACAUGGUUAUGUACUGAUAAGAGUGUGCC